UACGUAGGUGGCAAGCGUUGUCCGGAUUUAUUGGGCGUAAAGCGAGCGCAGGCGGUCAAUUAAGUCUGAUGUGAAAGCCCCCGGCUCAACCGGGGAGGGUCAUUGGAAACUGGUUGACUUGAGUGCAGAAGAGGAGAGUGGAAUUCCAUGUGUAGCGGUGAAAUGCGUAGAUAUAUGGAGGAACACCAGUGGCGAAGGCGACUCUCUGGUCUGUAACUGACGCUGAGGCUCGAAAGCGUGGGUAGCAAACAGGAUUAGAUACCCUGGUAGUCCACGCCGUAAACGAUGAGUGCUAAGUGUUGGAGGGUUUCCGCCCUUCAGUGCUGCAGUUAACGCAUUAAGCACUCCGCCUGGGGAGUACGACCGCAAGGUUGAA
rnacentral:rRNA from 1 species